CUCCAUUCGUCUACAUAAGUAGUAGGGUUUUCUUCAGUUUGCACAUCGCUCUGUGACCUCUCUCUCUCUCUCUAAGAGCAAGAUAAAAGGGCUGUUGCCUUCAUCUGUGAAGAAAGAAGAGAUUGAAUAGAUGGGAUAUGUUGUGGUUAUUUCUCUCCCAUUUUUCAUUCUCUUAAUUCUUCUGAGCUUUGGAUGCUACAUCCUGGGGAGGGACAAGGGGCGGAAAGAAGGGCGGAUGUUGGCAGCCCAGGAGUUUGGUAUUAAUGUUGUACCGCCUGGAGUGGUAGCACCAGGCGUUAAUCCUGUCCCUUCUCCCCCUGAAUUUUCUUCUGUUCCUCCUCCCCAAUUCCCUUCUUACAACAAUCCUCAUCCAACCCACAUGAAGCAAGGAAAUGAGACCAAUAUAUGAA